CAUGAACCACCUUGGCAGCUGGGAGGACAGCCCUAGUUGAGGAAGAUGGUCAAUUAAAUCUUCAACCAAGUCUGAGGCCUUACCAUAAAAAAUAUGUAGUGAGUUGAAAUGUUUCACAAAAGUUAUAAUAUUAUAAGCUUUUAAAAUUAUUUGUUUAUUAAGGGAUACGUUUGAUUAUAAGGAUAUCUUCAUCAUUGCAUAGCAUGUUUUUAUGCCCCACCUACGUUCGUCCGCAGGUUAAAGUUUUUGGUCAAGGUAGUUUUUGAUGAAGCUGAAGUCCAAUCAACUAGAAACUUAGUUCACUUGUUGCUUAUGAUAUGAUCUUUCUAAUUUUAAAGCCAAAUUAGACUUUUGACCCCAAUUUCACGGUCAACUGAACAUAGAAAAUGAAAAUGGGAGUUUCAGGUUUAAAUUUUUGGUCAAGGUAGUUACUGAUGAAGCUGAAGUCCAAUCAACUUGAAACUUAGUACACUUACUGCUUAUGAUAUGAUCUUUCUAAUUUUAAAGCCAAAUUAGACUUGACCCAAUUUCACGGUCCAUGGAACAUGGAAAAUGAUAGUGCCAGUGGGGCAUCCGUGUACUUUAUACACAUUCUUGUUUUCAUAGCAACUAAUUUUUUGCAUUAAAAUGUAUUUGUUUUCUACCUUUGAUAUCAUGUUUACAUAUUGAAGAUGAUAGUAUAUAACAAAUUCAUAAGAAAUGAAACAAGGCAUAAUCAUGUUACUGUUCUUUGUUGUAAAUUAUUCUUUAAAGCAAGUAUAUUUUUUUUCUUCAGGUUGUUGAAAUUACAAUGUUUUCCUGGUGUUGGGAGUAUUACUAAGACUUGGAUAUCUGAUACUGUUAACAUGUUGGUAGGUAUUCAAAAAUUGUUUAAAUAAUUUUAAUAGUAUUUGACAUCAAUCAAUUUUUUGAAGGUUUUAAUUACUAUACAAUAUGAAUGAAGUUUAUAUUUCUGUUGAAAAUUUAAAAAAUCAUUAGUUUGGUUUUGAAUACCAAAUAUAUCUUUGCUGAAUUUUGUUUGUAAUCCUUAAUUUGAGAAUUCAAACAGGGAAUGUAUCAAAGAGACAACAAACUGGCCAAUGGGCAAAAACAGCCGUACUGCCAACAAUUAGUCUUCAACACAUUGAGAAAAUUCCGUACCCAAAGGCUUUAAAAAAAGAAAUUAUGAUGUACAUAUCAAUUUUUUAAGAUGAGAAACACUGACCUUGAACUUUGUUUUACAGGUUAGCAUCAAGUUUCCUUGGGGUAACUUGCUUGGGGAGAA
rnacentral:lncRNA from 1 species